rfam:Ornithorhynchus anatinus chromosome 1, whole genome shotgun sequence.
CCCCUCUCAGCAUUGUACUUGGAGAGUUUCCAGUACUCUACCAAUCUUGACUAUGGAAAGGAUAGUCAAGCAGAGACAUACCCAUUCCAUUCCUAGCUUGGGCAGUGGCUAGUGAGUGGAGGACAAUCUGCUACAACU